GACAGAGGGCACAGGAAACCAGUCAGGGUGGGCGUCAAGGCCAAGGCCAGGGGGCUGUGACAGGCCUCUGUGGCUUCUGCCCACCGGCUUCCUGUGAUCACAGAGGGGCCUCAGGGAAUAAAGGCUAAUGACCAAGGGGUGGGGGGCUGUGGAAAGUUGUCCGUGUGGGAGGCCUUGGGAGCCGGCUUCCAGGCAGGUUCCAGGUUCAGACCCACUGUGGGCCAAGCAUAGGUGGCCAGGCAGUGGUUGAGGUUUGGCAUAGAGGGAUCUGGGGGGGUGUCUGGGGAGGGCUUUCCUGGACCAGAGACCUGGGCAGAAGGAGACAUGAAGAGGCUGUGGGUGAUUCGGGGCCAUGUUCCCUUCACCCCUAAACAGUCCCUCCCCCCACAUAUAAUAGAAGUAGCAGCUAUUUGCAGGGAAGAGGGAAGAGAAAUAUCAGCAGACCCAGGGGUUAAAUAAGGACCAGGAGACAGGCUGUGAGGAUUUAUGCCUGAAGAAUGAGAGAGGAGGAGGUCACAGCCCAGGCCUUGCCCGGGGCCUGUGGUGAGGCACCCAGGGCUGGCUGGGAGGUUUGAGUUUAGACAGAGACGGGAGACGGGAGCUAGCUUCUCUGCAGCCCAGCUUUGCUACCCACUGGUGCAGCCAAGCUCCCCGAGGGCUCCCCCAGAGGGGCCGGCUCUGGGGCUCUCAGUCCCCAGGGAGACUCCUCCUGCCUGGGCAUCGGGUGAGUGUGGAGAGAGCACGGUCUGCACAGCCUCUGCUGAGCCCACCUUCUGCCCCAGCUCCUGCUUACGGAGCCCCCUGCCCCCGGGGCAGUGCUGCCGAGCUCCACUCAAGAUGCCCCCACGCCACCGUGAUGCUACAACCCGGCUGCCCAGGACUCAGCAUGGCCGAGGACACCUCCCCCUUCCCACCAAGAAGAAGCAAAGAUGCUUCGGGGGCCAGAAAAGCAUCUCAAGAGAUGCUCAAUUUGACUCCUUCAAGAUUUGAGGAAGGAGUCAAAAACCAUACAACCCAUUCACCAAACUGGUCCUUGUCGACAGGAAAAGACGAGAUACCCUGAUGACAUGUUGAGUGAGCUGUGAGGUCUCUUAUCUGGGUCCUCCCUAUUCUCUUGGAACCCACCCCUCCCUUCUGUACUGAAUUUGAGUGAACUAUAAUUUGGAAGUAGAUUUAUAUGUUUAAAUAAAUGAGGAAUUCCUUUUGUGGCUCAGCGGUAACAAACCCAACUAGUAGCCAUGAGGAUGCGAGUUUAAUCCCUGGCCUCGCUCAGUGGGUUAAGGAUCUGGAGUUUCCAUAAGCUGUGGUGUAGGUGGCAGAUGUGGCUCAGAUCCUGUGUUGCUGUGGCUGUGGUGUAGGCCGGCAGCUGCAGCUCCGAUUUAACCCUUAGCCUGGGAACUUCUGGGUGCAGCC
rnacentral:lncRNA from 1 species